GCUCGUUCCUACCACAGUAUAUAAAUGGUCGUUGAGGCCUCUCAGAAUGUGUCAUAGUCGAAAACCCGCCCUUUCCUUUCGUUGCUACGGACUACAGAGUGUGACGUUGGGCUACUGAGACUGUGUGUGGGUGUGAUGUGCUGCUUACAAUCAGUGCGCUGUGCUGUCAAGGCUCCCAGCUGUGUAGCAUGAUAAUUUAACGUAGCUCCGGUCGGAGCGCCAGCUGUUGUCGUCACAACUAUUAAAGACGCUAUUAUUCGUAUGUACCAUCGUGAGUAUCAUAUCUUCGGAUCACGGGUCCUCGAUUUUGCAUGCGUUAAGGCUGGCUGAGUGAGAUGUGGUCGUUUCGGUAUAGCGCCUCCCCCUCACUCAGGGAGCCGCUUUGCUGCUUGAUUCUUAGGGCUUGCCUGCUUGAUUGGUGCUGCUUGAUGAUUGGUGCUGCUUGAUUCUGUUUGUUUUGAUUUGGUUUUGUUUUGUUUUGUGUUGGUUUCUGUCACUGAGAUCAGUUUUCUUUCAUUCAACUGUGAAAUAGUCUUUCAGUUAUGCUGAUACUGCUAUGUGGUAGUAGUGAUUUUGGUCAGCUUUGGUAAACUUGCUACUUGUACUCAGUUUAAGUGUGGGUCAUCUGUGUUUUUGUGACAGUAAGCUUGUUUUUGUUUUGUUUUAUUCUUUUGUCUGUUUUGUGCAUAUUGUAAUUGACUUUGUGUUUUUGUUUUCUCCUUGUAGGAGCUGAGUGCUUCCUGAGGCUGGGGGGAGUUCUUUGCUGCACCUUUAGGCUUUACUUAAUUAAGGAUCGUCAUUAUUGCUGUCUUUAUUUGCAGUGAAUUUUGUGGGUAUGAUUCUGAUUAGUGGGGUGCUUUUCUCUUUUGUAUAGCUGGUGCUUUCGUACUAGCCUGCCCUUCAUACAGGAAGCCUCAGCCCUCCUAUGAUUAUUGUUAGCUUCCUCUUGUGACUGUUUUAUUUGACCAAUGCCUGACCGCGUUGGCUGUUUCUUUUAAAAUAGUUCUUGGCCAGUCUUUUUAACUUCAAAAUAAAAUGUAUUUUUUGUAUGGAAA